CUUUUCAAAUUGAUGAUUGCAUUAGGAUUACAAGGAAGCGGCUAGGCUUCGCGAUUCACUGAAACUUUUUGAGGAAGAGGAGCUAGCUUUGCGACUUCAAAGGUUGUUGAAAGAGGCCAUUUCCCAGGAAAGAUUUGAGCUACCUACUGCGAUGAGUUAAAGGAAAUUGCUCCCUAUACUCUUUUGAAGUGCUCGAGUGACGCUACAACCUUGGGAAUUAGAGUCCAAGUAAGGAGUGUGUACAUUGCAGGUAGAAGUCAGCCAUCAAAAGGCCUUUACUUUUAUGCAUAUAGGAUUAGAAUCACCAACCUAUCCGAUCGCCCCCGUGCAACUUCUUAGACGUCAUUGGAUCAUAACUGAUGCCAAUGGAAGAACUGAGACAGUCCAGUUAAGCUUCCAGUUUCCCACCUUUACCCCUCAGUACUUCAAUAGACUCGAUUCUGUAUCUGUUUUUGAGGUAUUAUGCUUCACUUUCUCUAUUGAGCACGUCGACUGGCAGAAUGGAAGGUGACUAUGAGAUGAAGCACAUAGAUAAAGUUGGAACUCGGACGUUCAAUGUAGCUAUUGCCCCCUUUGCUCUGUCCACAUUUGGAGAUGAUAUUAGUGUAGAGAUUAUCCAACUCAUAUGCAGCUUCUAGUUGUAGAGAUUAUGAUGUUAUUUAGAUAUAUUUGACACUUUGAUUAUGGAUGGAUAAAGUUAUUUGGAUGAUUAAAUAUUUAUAUAUGUUUUGGUUGUGGAA